rnacentral:rRNA from 1 species
UAGAGUUUGAUCCUGGCUCAGGAUGAACGCUGGCGGCGUGCCUAACACAUGCAAGUCGAGCGAUGAGGCUCCCUUCGGGGGGUACAUCAGCGGCGAACGGGUGAGUAACACGUGGGUGACCUUCCCCAAAGACGGGGAUAACUCUUGGAAACAGGGGCUAAUACCCGAUGUGCUCAGCAGUUCACUCUGUUGAGUAAAGCUAUGGCGCUUUGGGAUGGGCCCGCGGCCCAUCAGCUAGUUGGUAGGGUAAAGGCCUACCAAGGCUAAGACGGGUAGGGGGCGUGAGAGCGCGAUCCCCCACACUGGCACUGAGACACGGGCCAGACUCCUACGGGAGGCAGCAGUGAGGAAUAUUGCGCAAUGGACGAAAGUCUGACGCAGCGACGCCGCGUGGGCGAUGAAGGCCUUCGGGUCGUAAAGCCCUUUUCUGGGGGAAGAGAAAGGACGGUACCCCAGGAAUAAGCCCCGGCUAACUACGUGCCAGCAGCCGCGGUAAAACGUAGGGGGCAAGCGUUAUCCGGAUUUACUGGGCGUAAAGAGCGUUGAGGCGGUUUUGUAAGUUGGGCGUGAAAGCCCUGGGCUUAACUCAGGGAAGCCGUUCAAUACUGCGAAACUUGAGGGCAGCAGAGGGAGGUGGAAUUCCCGGAGUAGCGGUGAAAUGCGUAGAUAUCGGGAGGAACACCAGUGGCGAAGGCGGCCUCCUGGGCUGCUCCUGACGCUGAAGGCGAAAGCUAGGGGAGCGAACGGGAUUAGAAACCCCGGUAGUCCUAGCCGUAAACGAUGGAUGCUAGUGUGGGGGGUGUAGAUUCCCUCCGUGCCGCAGUUAACGCGUUAAGCAUCCUCGCCUGGGGAGUACGGCCGCAAGGCUAAAA